rnacentral:rRNA from 1 species
UACGUAGGGCGCAAGCGUUAUCCGGAAUUAUUGGGCGUAAAGAGCUCGUAGGCGGUGUGUCACGUCGGCCGUGAAAACCUGCAGCUUAACUGUGGGCGUGCGGUCGAUACGGGCAUCACUGGAGUUCGGCAGGGGAGACUGGAAUUCCUGGUGUAGCGGUGAAAUGCGUAGAGAUCAGGAAGAACAUCGGUGGCGAAGGCGCUCUGCUGGACCAUAACUGACACUCGAGGGACGAAAGCUAGGGGAGCGAACAGG